GAGACGCAGAAGGCAAAAUAGCUUAGGGUAAAAUAACAAGACCAGGUGACUCUGAAGUAAAAUUUUAAAUUUAAACAAACUUUCUAUAUAUUAUGUUUAAUAUGGCAAGAUCCAUUCUAUAUAUUAGAAAUGAUUUUUAUUCAGAUACGAGUAUCCUCAGCAAGAUUCAGAAGCAAAUAAAGAGCAACUAGAAAAGUAAAAUAUAUGAGAGUUAAAGAAUUAGUAUACUGAAUCAAUAAUUUAGAAAAUCAUUUCUACUCACCAAGGCAACAGA
rnacentral:lncRNA from 1 species